UUGCCAGCCCGCUCAGAAACUUAAAUGAAUUGACGGGGGAGCACCACAAGGGGUGGAGCCUGCGGUUCAAUUGGAGUCAACGCCGGGAAUCUUACCGGGGGAGACAGCAGGAUGACGGCCAGGUUAAAGGCCCUUGCCCGACGCGCUGAGAGGAGGUGCAUGGCCGUCGCCAGCUCGUGUCGUGAGAUGUCUGGUUAAGUCCAGCAACGAGCGAGACCCCACCCCAGUUGCUACCCCGGCCUCAGGGCCGGGGGCACACUGGGGGGACUGCCGCCGUUUAAGGCGGAGGAAGGAGGGGGCCACGGCAGGUCAGCAUGCCCCGAAUCCCCCGGGCUACACGCGGGCUACAAUGGCGGGGACAGCGGGUGCCGACCCCGAAAGGGGGAGGCAAUCCCUCAAACCCCGCCGCAGUUGGGAUCGAGGGCUGCAACUCGCCCUCGUGAACGAGGAAUCCCUAGUAACCGCGUGUCAACAUCGCGCGGUGAAUACGUCCCUGCUCCUU
rnacentral:rRNA from 1 species